rnacentral:tRNA from 1 species
ACUUUCCUAGUAUAAUAAAGUACAGCUGACUUCCAAUCACCUAGUCCCAGUCAAAGUCUGGGGGAGAGUA